UGAGAUGCUAAAGAAUCUGCAGGUGGUACCAGAUGACUAUACAACAUAGGUGAUAUAGCUAGUCGUAACAAUCGAGCAAACAGGUCAUCCAUAACAGGAACAAUAGAGCAAGAAAAAAUUUGAUCUUGGAUUGAGUCAAGAUCACAUGGAAGUUCAACAAGUGCAACAACUAGAAACAUUUUUUGAUGUUGCUCCAAUUUCUUUUCAAUACUUGAAGUAGCGAGCAUUAACUCAUUGAAUUCUUCCAUAGUUG
rnacentral:lncRNA from 1 species